AUGCUUUUGUAUUUUUUAUGUUUAAAGAUAGCAUGUUUUCCAUCAGUUAUUCUACCUCUUACUCUUCUAUCAGUAGCAUUACUGAACUGUGUUAUAACAGAUGAAAAUACAAUAACCAAAUACUUACUCUUCAAAACCUCACGUGAUUUUGUUCAUUUCAUCAAAGAAAUUCAAUAUUACAUUCUUAAGUUACAAAGAGAGGGAGAGGGAGAGGGAGAGGGAGAGAUCUAAUGUCCAAACAAUAUUCCCUAAAUUUUUGGUAUAUUCCAACAAUUGUUGGAAUGUUUUCUAGGUAGCCCCAUUAGCAUGGCCACUUUUUAAACUAUUCACUUUAUUUCCAGAGGGCAGGGGGACGCUGUUGGAGGUUUUUCAAUAUCCCACAAGAGAGUAUGUACAACCCAAUUCUGCUACAUGAAAAACUGAGGAUCAAAAGUCAUAAAAACCAUGUACACAAUAGGCAUCUGGCAGCAUUUUCAGACAACUUUUUAAAUUUAUUCUGACAUGCUAUAAAGGAAUAAAUUACACUGUUAAAUGAAUUUGCCAGCAGUAAGAAUAUCUUUUAGCUGGAUUAAGGUGAGAAGGACAGCCUAAGGCAGUAACCAGUAACCCAUGUGAACACCACACGCUGAGGGGCUGCCUAACAAGAGUAAAUCUGAUCAUAUCCACUUCACAAGAACUUGAAAGAAAAAUCCUCCUUUUCAAACUCUCCAUAUACUUCCAAUUUAAAUCUAUAAAAGCUAGUUUUGCAAAUCAGUCCAGCCAAUGUGAGACAACGGCAAGACUUUGUGAGUUGCUGUGAUGACUCCAAAAAGAUGCCUUUAUUUUUAUUCAGUCUCUUGUUACAGUGGGCUGGGUAUCAAUGCAACAGAUUAUAAAAAUGUAAGAGUGCCCCUCCCCAUCAAGAAAAAAAAUACAAAAUUUAUUUUAAAAACAAAAGUGAGGAAGAGUUACAACACUAGAUCUAAAAUGAUUAAGAAAUAGGACUUUUGCUUUAACAAAUGGCCUUGUAGUUGCCUGUUUUAAAAAAUGGCGGUGUCUAAUUUAGAUUGCAAAUUAUCAAGGCAAAUUAAAAAAAUCUCAUUCCCUUACAGAAACAGUUUAGUUUU
rnacentral:lncRNA from 1 species